rnacentral:SRP_RNA from 2 species
UGGGACUGGCCAUGGACAGGUCACUCGCCAACCCGGUCAGGUUCGGAAGAAAGCAGCCGUAACGAUCAUGCCCUGGGUCAUGCGUCCAGUCUCAAGC